GGGGCGGGGACACAGCGUCCAGGCCUUGGCAAGGCUUGGGCGACACUGCCGGGUUCCUGCUUGCGAGCGGUCAGCAUGCAUCUUCACCUGCUCUUGAUAUUGGCGCUAUUUCGGGCCGGCUGCGUGGUGGCAGGUCCUAGCUACAGCCUGAGCGGGAGCUGGCGGGUGAGCAACGGGAAUGGCUCCCUGGAGCUACCGGCGACUGUCCCCGGCUAUGUGCACAGCGCCCUGCACCAGCACGGGCUGAUCCAGGAUCCUUACUACAGAUUUAAUGACCUGAACUAUAGAUGGAUUUCCUUAGAUAACUGGACCUACAGCACGGAAUUUAAAAUCCCCUUUAAUCUCAGUGAAUGGCAGAAGGUAAAGUUGAUCUUUGAUGGAGUUGACACGGUUGCAGAAAUCCUGUUCAACAAUGUCACCAUUGGGAAGACAGACAACAUGUUCACUGGAUACAGCUUUGACGUCACCAACGUAGUCAAAGACGUGAACUCCUUAAAGCUGCAGUUCCGGUCAGCAGUGCAGUAUGCAGAGUGUCAGAGCAAGGCUCACACUAGCUACCGGGUGCCCCCAGAGUGCCCCCCGGUGGAGCAGAAGGGUGAAUGUCACGUCAACUUCAUCCGAAAGGCACAGUGUUCCUUCAGCUGGGACUGGGGCCCUUCCUUCCCCUCUCAGGGAAUCUGGAAAGAUGUUAGAAUCGAAGCCUAUAACAUUGCUCAUCUGGAUUACCUCACGUUUUUGCCAGUAUAUGAUAACGCUUCUCAGGCCUGGAAUAUUGAAAUAGAGGCUUCUUUUGAUGUCGCCAGCUCGAAGUCCGUUAGUGGUCAGGUGACAGUAGCCAUCCCUCAACUGAAAACACAGCAGACAAACGACAUUGAACUUCAACAAGAGCAAAGGAUUGUUAAACUACUGGUCAAAAUUAGGAAGGACGUUGCUGUGGAGACCUGGUGGCCUCGUGGACAUGGGAACCAGACUGGGUACAACAUGACAAUUCUCUUUGCUCUGGAUGGAGGCUUAAAAAUUGAGAAAGCAGCCAAGGUUUAUUUCAGGACAGUGCAACUGAUAGAAGAGGGCAUAAAAGGGUCUCCUGGUCUGAGUUUCUACUUCAAAAUUAAUGGGCUUCCUAUAUUUCUGAAAGGCUCAAAUUGGAUUCCAGCCGACUCCUUCCAAGACAAAGUCACUUCCGAUCGGCUGCAGCUCCUUUUCCAGUCCGUCGUGGAUGCGAACAUGAACACUCUGCGCGUGUGGGGGGGUGGCAUCUACGAGCAGGAUGAGUUCUAUGCGCUCUGUGAUGAACUUGGGAUAAUGGUGUGGCAGGACUUUAUGUUUGCCAGUGCCCUUUAUCCAACUGAGCCUGGCUUCUUAGCCUCCGUGAGGAAAGAAGUCACCUACCAGGUCAGGAGACUGAAAUCUCACCCCUCCAUCAUCAUAUGGAGUGGUAAUAAUGAGAAUGAAGUGGCUCUCAGCGUGAACUGGUUCCACGUAAAUCCCAGGGACAUGAAAACGUACAUUGACGACUACGUGACCCUCUAUGUGAAGAACAUCAGGAAGAUUGUCUUAUCAGAAGACAAGAGCCGUCCUUUCAUUGCAUCCAGCCCAACCAACGGGAUGAAAACCAUGGAGGAAGGCUGGAUCUCUUACGACCCUUAUAGCAUCCAGUAUGGUGAUAUUCAUUUUUAUAACUAUGCCGAUGACUGCUGGAAUUGGAAGAUCUUCCCAAAAGCUCGAUUAGUGUCUGAAUAUGGCUACCAGUCCUGGCCUUCUUUUAGCACACUAGAAAAGGUCUCAUCUCAGGAGGACUGGGCUUACAACAGCCGCUUCUCCCUUCAUCGGCAGCAUCAUGAAGAUGGCAACCAUCAGAUGCUGCACCAGGUCAAGAUGCAUUUCAAACUCCCCCAGGGGACAGACCCAUUGCGCACAUUUAAAGACACUAUCUACCUUACUCAGGUGAUGCAAGCCCAGUGCAUCAAAACAGAAACCGAGUUCUACCUGCGCAGCCGCAGCGAGAUAGUGGACGGAAAAGGCCACACCAUGGGGGCACUGUACUGGCAGCUGAACGAUAUCUGGCAGGCUCCUUCCUGGGCCUCUCUUGACCCGGUGCUCUUGGAGCUCAUGGAUUCAUCGAGGCUGGCCAGUCUGCAAACCCCGAGGAUCCCCAGUCUCUGCUUUCCCAGAGCAAGGCAUGCUGACGUGCCCAGCUGUUUACACAGGAGUACGGAGGGAAAUGGAAAAUGCUGCAUUACUUCGCUCGGCGUUUCUUCGCUCCACUGUUGCCAGUGGGAUUUGAAGAUGAAGGUGUUUUUUACGUCUAUGGCGUCUCAGAUCUUCACAAAGACCACCACACGCAGCUCACCGUGAGGCUCCAUCACUGGAGCUCCCCGAAGCCUUUGUGCUCCCUCGUGAAUUCAAGUAUUGUGGUUAAGGCCGGAGAGGCAGUGGUUCUGUUCCAGAUGCCGGUGUCUGAGCUGCUGAAGAGAUGCAGGGGAUGCACGAGGGAGACAUGCGUGGUCUCCUUUUACUUUUCAACUGACAAAGAACUCUUCAGCCCAACCAACUACCACUUCCUGUCCUCCCUGAAGGACGCUAAAGGGCUGCUCGAGGCCAACAUCACUGUCAACAUCUCUCAGAAGGGCAAUGUUUUUGUUUUUGAUCUGGAAACGUCUGCGGUCGCUCCCUUUGUUUGGUUGGAUGUAGGAAGUAUCCCCGGGAGAUUUAGUGAUAACGGCUUCCUCAUGAUUCGGAAGAAACUCUCGGUACUGUUUUACCCUUGGAAGCCCACCAGCAAGAGUGAGCUGCAGCAGGCCUUCAGCGUCACCUCCCUGACGGAUACCUACUGAAGGGACAUGGCUUGUAAUUCAGUGGACACUGGGGACAAAGGCUUUCUAAAGCAUGGCUGGAGAAGAAGGCAGCCUGAGAUAAAACCGUCAAGAAGUAUCUGCUGCCUGGGGUGCUAUGACUUCCCAGUGAAUACUGUUCAUCCUGGUGAUGUCUUUAGACAAGGUCAUGCCCGGGGAUUCUUGAAUCUCCCAGGAUUGUGGUUUUGUCCCACAGCUAAAGCACGGCCAGAAGACUCAUACCACCCAAUGACCUUUUUGGGAGACCACUAGACUGUGACAUGAUUGUGUGGAACCAAAUGUGGAGGUUCUGAAGUAAUGUAGGCCUUUCAUAGCACCAGGAAUUCUACCCACUGUAGGUGAAGUGUGUGGCUAGGAUUGCCAGAGGAAAUGGGAACUCAGAUCCUACAAUAGAGAUUGCUUGAUGGCAGCCAUAUUGAUUGUUGGUAGACAGCUGAGGGGCCUGAAUGUUGUAUCUGAUUACUAUCUUUAGGUAGGAUUCCCUUUUUCAUAUAGUUUGGCAAUAACUCUCUUUCUGAAAAGACCAAGAGAUCUUUGCAGCCUAGGCUGAUUGUGCUGUCACCUGUGUAGUCUCAGACUCUGGAGGCAGAGGCAGGAGGACCACAAAUUCAAAGUUGGCCCCGACUAUACUGUUGAAUUUUUCACUUCUCCUCGUCCUGAGUGUUCUUGUGAGCUUUAGGCUUACCACUGAUUCUGAUGGACUCUCGAAUCCAAAGUUAGGAGCUACAUUUAAACUCAUUGGCUCUGCUGUGGAAGUGGCAAAAAAUGUUAAUAAGUAGCUAUUUUGGGCACUGGUUUGUGGGCUUUUUGGUAUGACUUUUAUACUUUUUCUAUAUACUAUAUAUAUAUAUAAAUAAAAACCCACAGAUUAUAUAAAUUGCACUGACAACUUGAAAGUUUAUUUGCGCUCUGUUUAACCAUGUAAUAAACAUUUCAUUGCAUACAAA